GACGAACCGUGCGAACGUUGUUCGGAAUCACUGGGCUUAAAGGGCGCGUUAGGCGGGUGUGCAAGUCUGCGGUGAAAGCCUCCAGCUUAACUGGAGAAGUGCCGUGGAUACUGCAUAUCUUGAGGAGGGUAGGGGCAUCUGGAACAUUGGGUGGAGCGGUGAAAUGCGUUGAUAUCCAAUGGAACUCCGGUGGCGAAGGCGAGGUGCUGGACCCUUUCUGACGCUGAGGCGCGAAAGCCAGGGGAGCAACGGG
rnacentral:rRNA from 1 species